AAUCUUAUAAUUUAAUUAAAAAUAUUAAAUUGCAAAUUUAAAAAUAUUAUAAUAAUAAUUAAGAUUU
rnacentral:tRNA from 1 species